rnacentral:lncRNA from 10 species
UGUGCUGGGAAUUGCUUUCAAGUCCUGUGACUCCAGGGAGAACCCAGCCCAUUUCACAGGAUGUUUAAUGUGUGCUCACAAAUAGAUUCCAUCAGCUCUCCUACGGCACCCAGGAGGUCAGCUGCCCCAUGGAGGAAGCAAGAUUUGUGUGCAUUAGAAAUAAAUGAACUGUUGGAGAUAGGAUCUUCUUUGUUGACAAAACAAGUCUUGAAGAUAAGAGAUCAAGGCUUCUAGUUAAAUGGAGCAGUGACCUUAUCAGAAAUCUCAAAGCAGAAAAGUCUGUCAGAAAAACAGCAUCAGAUCAAGGAAACCAAGUACAUGGAGCUAAUUUUUGACUCUAAAGAAAGGCAAGAUUAUUUAAUAAUAAUGAUAAUGGCACAGUUUGUUAACUAUGUGAAGAAAAUCAAAUAUAGCUUUAUCUCCAUUAUACAACCAAAUAUAUUCUACAUGGAUUAAAAUAUUAAAUGUAAAAGUUAAUCAAACCAAUAAGUCAAAAAAGAAAAAAAUAGAAAAAAUAUCCAUAAAAAUUUAUUGAAUUACAAAAUGGUCAUAAAAUAUAUUAGUUCAAAACAAUGGAAUAAUUCAUAAAGGAUGACUAUUAUAGAGAUUUUCCCGUAGAGAGUUCUAAAAUUUAUGUGACUCAAAAAAUGCCUUAUAUAAAACUAAUAUCAAAUAAAAAUUUUCAGAAAAUAUUUGCUUGCAUAAGGCAAAAGAGCUAAUAACCUUAAUGUAUAAAAGUUCCUUCAAACUAAGUACCAUCUCAGAAGAAAAAAAAUCUCAAAGUGGUAAUCAAAUAAUAAAAAUUGUAAUACCAGGUCUCGAUGACUUAGCUAGGUGUGGUGGUGCACACGCCUGUCGUCCCAGCUACUCGGGAGACUGAGGCAGAAGAAUCACUUGAACCCAGGAGGUGGAGUUUGCAGUGAGCCAAGAUCACGCCACUGCACUCCAGCCUGGGGACAGAGCGAGACUCUGUCAAAAAACAAAACAAAACAAAAUAAAACUUCCCUUAAUUCUGCAACAUUUCUGAUUAGACCAAGUAGCAUCAGGAAAGAUACAGAAGAACUUUCCCUCCUCCAACAGCUAAGUUCAACUAAAUUUCUGGACACUGUAUAUAUUUUAACCUCCCCCACCUAAAAUAAAAGAAAAAAAAGAGAAGACUUUGCAGUAUGGAGAAAAGGUAGACAAGCCAGGGACCUUGGUCUCAAAGAACAACAUGGUGGUGGGUUUCCUGGGUUUUCUUUUCCAUCAUAUAUCUCAGACUUGGAGAUGAAAAAUCAGCAAUCCAGAAACAACAUUGGAUGGAGAAAAAGCUGCAAUGAAAGAUUGCCAUCUCUAGCAAAGGAGCAGAAAAGGGGCAGACUAUCAAGGCAGAAAACUUUCAGGCUGUAACUGCUCUACUCCAACCACAUCCAGAAAACAAAACUAAACAAACAAACAAAAAAAACUUGUGGCCUCAUUUUCACUCAUGCUAACAAAGCCCAAGUGGGGAGUCUAAACUGCCACCCUCACAAAGCUGUAAAUAGGUGCCCGCAAUACCCCUACAGGAGUGGUGUCAGAGGACAUGGAAAAGGGAGCCAAAACUUUCAUUUCUGUUAGCCAGUAACAAGAGUCUACUGCAGUGUAAAUGGAGACCAUAUGGGGAACUUGGACUUUCAUGCUACCUGGCAGUGACGAGGCAGCCCUUCUUUCCCUGAUGGAAUGGCAUCAGAGGAUCCCAGUGGGAAGUGAGGACAUUCACUACCACUAAUUAGUAACAAGGCCACCACCACUAUGGUGUCAAUAGAGAUCACAUGGAGAGGCAGCACAAAUAUCUAUGCCCAGUAGUUAUUAAGACCUGCUUCUCUCAGCAGAGUCAGGUGUCAGUGGAGGAGAAGUGAAGGAUCUGGAAGUGAAUUCUACCUUCCAGUAGAAAGCUGUGUUGAGCCACUUUUCCCCCUUUCAAAGCAGUGCCUAAAAAAGCAGCUGGAGGAUAAAGUUUGAAUAAGAUCCAAAGACUCUUAACGUAAUAUGAAUGUGACCAGGUUUCAAUCAAAAAUUGCUUGUCAUACAAAUAACAAGGAAAAUUUCAAAAAGGAUAAAAAGUAAAUUCAUUAUAUGCCAAUAGUGAGAAGGCAGAGCUAUUAAAAUAAUCUGACAGAGAUUGUAGAGCAACUGUGGUAAAAAUACUUCAACAAUCAAAACAUGCUUGAAACAAAUUUAAAAAACAGAGUUUCAGCACAGAUAUAUAAGACACAAAGAAGAACCACUGGACAUUUUAGAACAGAAAAAUGUAAUAACUUAAGUGAAAGCUUAAUGGAUGAUAUCAACAGCAGAAUAGAAGAGACAGAAGAAGAAAACAGGUAGCUUUAAGAUAGAAGAAGAAAAAUCACAUAAUCUAAACAACAGAGAGGAUAAAGGAAAAGAAAAUGAACAGAGCCUCCAAGAUCUGUGGACUAUAACAAAAUAUCUAGCAAAGACCUGGAAGAAGAGAAAUAGAGUGGGUCUAAAAAUGUGCUCCAAGUACACAUGGUCACAAAGAUGAGAACAAUAGACACUGAGGACUACUUGGAGGGGGAGACUGGGAGGAGAGUGAGGGUCAUAAAACUACCGAUUGGGUAUCUUGCUCACUGCCUGGAUGAUGGAAUCAUUUGUACACCAAACCCCAGUACUACACUGCCCAUGUAACAAACCUGCACAUAUACACCCUGAAUCUAAAAUAAAAGUUGAAUAAAUACAUAAAUAUAUAAAAAAUAAAAAUGUACACCAAAAAAUAGCAUCUAAAAUCUACCAAUUUCAUUAGAGACAUAAACCUACAGAAUAUGAAUAAAUAUGAAUGAACCCUAAACAGGGUAAUCACAAAGAUAUUCACACCAAGUUCCCUUGUAAUUAAACAUCUGAGAACUAGAAACAAAGAAAAAAUUUUGAAAGCAAUCAGAGAAAAGACACUUGACCAAUACGAGAAAAGCAAUUAAAAUGACAGAUUUCUCAUCAGAAACCACAGAGGAGAGAUGGAAGUGGCACGAUAUUUUUCAGGUGUCAAAAGAAAAGAGCUCUCAACCUAGGCUGACAAUCCUCUACCCAGGAUGAAAUCCUAGUUUCACAAUUGCAUUAGUCCAUUCUCACAUUGCUAUAAAGAACUACCUGAGACUGGGUAAUUUAUGAAGAAAAGAGCUUUAAUUGGCUCAUAGUUCUGCAGGCUGUACAGGAGGUGUGACUCAGGAGGCCUCAGUAAACUUAGGAUCAAAGCAGAAGGCGAAGGGGAAGCAGACACAUCUUCAUAUGGCAGAACAGGAGAGAAAAAGAGUGAAGGGGAACGUGCCACACACUUUUAAACAACCAGAUCUUGUUAGAACUCUAUCACAAGACAGCACUGGGGGAUGGUGCGAAACCAUUGGAAACCACCCCCAUGAUUCAAUCACCUCCCACCAGGGCCCUCCUCCAACACUGCGGAUUACAAUUCAACAUGAGAUUUGGGUGGGAGACAGAAACAAACCAUAUCAACAAUCCUAUACCCUGAAUAUUCAAUCCUAUAACCAAAGUGAAAGGGAAAUCAUAAUAUUCUUAAGCUGAAGAAAAAGUAAGAUAAUUUACUAUCCUAUCCAAAAAGUAUACCUAAAGAAAGUUCUCUAAACAGAAGGAAAACAAAAGAAAGACACCAGGAAAGGAAGAAAACAGAAAAAAAUAAGAUAAAAGAUCUGCAGCUAUGGAAUUCUUCUCCAUGACAUUUUCACAGAACAUACUACUUGUGAUUUAUAUCAUGUCCUUACUCAAGGUAAGGAACUGCAAGUGAUCAAUAUUGCUGGAGCAAAAGGAAGAGAGAGAAGGCUGAAGAGACUGGUACAAGAUAGAUCACGGAAGAACAGUUGGGCAUGCCGGUGUCAG